CCCUUAGAUGUUCUGGGCCGCACGCGCGCUACACUGAUGCAUUCAACGAGCCUAUCCCUGACCGACAGGUCCGGGUAAUCUUUGAAUCUGCAUCGUGACGGGGAUAGAUUAUUGCAAUUAUUAAUCUUCAACGAGGAAUGCCUAGUAGGCGCAAGUCAUCAGCUUGCGUCGAUUACGUCCCUGCCCUUUGUACACGCCGCCCGUCGCUCCUACCGAUUGGGUGUGCUGGUGAAAUGUUCGGAUCGGUCGUUUGUCGCGGUUUCCGCGUCAUGUGGCUGAGAAGUUCAUUAAACCCUCCCACCUAGAGGAAGGAGAAGUCGUAACA
rnacentral:rRNA from 1 species